CUCGUAGAGGCACUUCCGGUCGCCACCGAAAGUGAGUUGUAAAGGCAGUUGCCGCGAUUUGAGGCUGGUAGAACCUAAAGAUCCGAAUUUAAACCCAAUAUUAUAGGAUUUAGAAAGAAAACUGGAAGUUGGGAUAGUUCUCUCGAACAGAAUAUAUAUGUGGUAACACAGAGGAUUAGAUCCAAACUUUCAAAAACAUUACACAGAACAUUUCACUCUAUUUAUUGAAAUGAAGGUGCAGCUCAUCUCUUUAGAUGACUCGGCGGAGGCUCACCAAGGAGCGCACCUGCACUCAUCAACCUCCUGCUAUAUCUACCCUGGCUGUGCGCCGAGUCAUUGCCAGUUCGUCCUUGGCACUACCGUGGUAGAUACUCGAUCUCGGCCCCUCAGUCUAUUUCUCCUGUUGCGUAUAUCUCGUAACCCCAUGUUUGUUUCUCCUGUCCUCCACGACCCCGUCAUCUUGUCGUCCCUAAAUUCUCUAAAAAAAGAGUAGGAGCCAGAGCUUUUAGCCAUCAAGCCCCUCGGCUGUGGAAUAAUCUACCACUUUCAGUUCGGGAGGCAGAUACCAUCUUUUCAUUUAAGAGUAGACUCAAAACCUUCCUUUUUGAUAAAGCUUAUAGUUAGAGCUAAUUAGUGCGCCAGAACGUUACUUGUUCUAUUUUAUGACACAUGACACACGGAGGUUCUCUUUCCAGCUUCUCCUUCCUCUUCUCCAUCCCUAUCCCCCUUCCCCGGAAUCCCUUUGCUUUAUCACCCGCAGAUCCAGGGCCUCUGUGGCCGCACCAUGGAUUGCGGUUUGUGGAUCGUACACCGGGGGUUGCGGUGGUGGAUCCAUUGUGGCGGAUUCUGGGCUGAUCGUGGUGCUGGUGGCGGACCCUGUGUCGCGUUGGCAUUGGGCACGGGCGGUGGACCAGGACCGCGGUGGUGGCUUGUGAUGGGUCCUGGUGGGCGGCGGUGGACGGUGACUGAGGACUGGGGUGGCGUCUGGUCUGGAUGGUGGAUCGUGGUCUAGAUGGUUGCUGAGCAUGGACUUUGCUUGCAGCAGGACUGCUUGGCAUGUCAUGUUGGGGUUGUCCUUCGGGAUGUCUACCCUCAUCAAAUGCUGCUAGAGACUUUGAUUAUUGAUGAUGUUUUCCUGCACGUGGCAUCUAUUGCACUUCUGUCCGUCCUGGGAGAGGGAUCCCUCACAUGUGGCUCUCUCUGAGGUUUCUACAUAUUUUUACCCUGUUAAAAGGGUUUUUAGUAGUUUUUCCUUACUCUUGCUGAGGGUUAAGGACAGAGGAUGCCACACCCUGUUAAAGCCCUAUGAGAUGAAUUGUAAUUUGUGAAUAUGGGCUAUACAAAUAAAAUUUGAUUGAUUGA